CCUACGGGUGGCAGCAGUCGAGAAUCAUUCACAAUGGGGGAAACCCUGAUGCUGCGACGCCGCGUGGGGGAAUGAAGUUCUUCGGAUUGUAAACCCUUGUCAUGUGGGAGCAAAUUACAAUGAUUGUACCACACGCGGCAGAGACCUCUAACUCUGUGCCAGCAGCCGCGGUAAUACGGAGGUCUCAAGCGUUGUUCGGAAGCACUGGGCGUAAAGCGGGCGUAGGCGGAAUGUCAAGUCAAGGGUGAAAUCCCCGCGCUCAACGUGGGAACUGCCUUUGAAACUGGCAAACUGGAGUGUGGGAGAGGUAAGUGGAAUUCCAGGUGUAGGAGUGAAAUCCGUAGAUAUCUGGAGGAACAUCAGUGGCGAAGGCGACUAGCUGGAACAUAACUGACGCUGAGGAGCGAAAGCGUGGGUAGCAAACAGGAUUAGAUACCCGUGUAGUC
rnacentral:rRNA from 1 species